GCUGGUGUGGCCCAGUGGAUAGAGCGUUGGUUUGUGGACCAAAGGGUCCCUGGUUCAAGUCCAGUCUAGAGCA
rfam:Myotis brandtii contig154276, whole genome shotgun sequence.